GACAGAGGGUGCAAACGUUGUUCGGAAUUACUGGGCGUAAAGCGCGUGUAGGCGGCUUCGCAAGUCGGGUGUGAAAUCCCACGGCUCAACCGUGGAAGUGCAUUCGAAACUGCAAGGCUAGAGUCCUGGAGGGGAAGGUGGAAUGCUUGGUGUAGAGGUGAAAUUCGUAGAUAUCAAGCGGAACACCGGUGGCGAAGGCGACCUUCUGGACAGUGACUGACGCUGAGACGCGAAAGCGUGGGGAGCAAACAGG
rnacentral:rRNA from 1 species